UCCUGGGGCUUCUCCACCAUGGCCUGGACCCCGCUCCUGCUCCCCCUCCUCACUCUCUGCACAGGUUUGGUGGCCUCUUCUGAAGUGACUCAGCCCUCAGCAGUGUCUGUGACCCUGGGACAAACGGCCAGGAUCACCUGCCAGGGGGAAGCUCUGAGAAACUAUUAUCCUACCUGGGUGCAGCAGAAGCCAGGCCAGGCCCCUGUAACAGUCAUCUAUGAUAACAACAAUCGACCCUCAGGGAUCCCAGAUCAAUUCUCUAUCUCAUACUCAGGGGACAUGAACACCCUGACCAUCAGUGGGGCCCGGGCUGAGGACGAGGCUGACUACUUCUGUGCGGUGAGGGAGAGUAGUAGUAACACUCACAGUGACACAGGCAGGUGGGGAAGUGAGACAAAAAACACUGAGUGCACCACACUCGCUUUCUGUCCAAAUAUGCCCAGAGACAAGGCCAUGAGCAGGUCUCACUCAGGCCCCAGGUGUGAGAUCCCCAUGCUGUCCCCUCCUCCCAGUUCUCAGCCAGCUCUGCAGAGGGUGGGACAGCAGUAAAUUCACUGCUGGCAGGACCAGGAUGUCCUGGGGAUUUCUAGGCCAGGGUGUGAGUAGGGACACAAGGCCUGAAUGAAAGGACACAGAGGGAGACAUCCACGCAGCAGUGAAGGACACUGCAUGUCCACGUGAUGGAGGCUGUGUCACUCACAGGCCCAC